CAGCCAUAAGUAGCAACCGUUCGGCCAAGAGUUUCCUAUCAAGGAAACAAUCAAAGAAGAAGGAUACGAAAGCUUCUUUGAGCUCCUCCUCCAAUGUUGCCCCCAUUGACACGGUAUGCAUCUAUUUGGAAUUUGUAUUUAGGCUACGGCUUCAUGCAAAGCAGGGUAAUAACUAUCUUCUGCCUAUACAUAACAUGGCCGGAUGAUCGCCCAUUUUCCCUCUAACUCCCACGUGGAACCUAGCCUGUCACGCAAAGAAAUGCCGUACAAGAAAUGUGUGCCAUUUCGCGAGGUGAAAGAUGUAGAACGAUGGCUCAUCUACUUUUGUAUACACUAUAUAACCGUUCAUAGGCUACUAAAGAAAGUCAUAGUUCACACACAGUUAAACACAAUGGCUCAUCUACUUUUGUAUACACUAUAUAACCGUUCAUAGGCUACUAAAGAAAGUCAUAGUUCACACACAGUUAAACACAAUACAAUGGACGGAGCUUACCGUUCUGAGAGAGCAUCCUCUGUGCGAAAGCAAGUUAAGAAGAAAGGCAAGCACCCAACGCUAAGUUCCUUAGAAGAUCAGCCCCAUUCCAACGGUGGCAAAGCAAGCAAUUCGCAGAAAAACCUCAUAGUAUAUAUUUCAAGACGUCCAAUUGUCAAAACCUCAUAGAAAUACAAAGCUAUAGUCACUGGUAUCUUCACAGGGGCAUGGUGCAAGCAUCCGUAUUGAUAGGCCUCCCAUGUGAAAAAGACAGUCGCGGAGAAUUUUCAAUCACGUUCAAAGGAGAGCCAGCUAACACAGAGGAUGAAGCCAAAGAGAAAGCUGCCCAAGUGGCUUUGGAAUGUAUUUGUGCAAAUUACAAUAUUUCUAUCAGUGACCAUAACUAUUAUGCCCUCGAAGUCACAAAGGAAAGACUAUUUACGUCAAAAGAAAUGCACAAACAAAGGAAUUACAAUUUAACAUCGCCUGUCAGCAGGUAGCUACACA